GACGAACGCUGGCGGCGUGCUUAACACAUGCAAGUCGAACGGAAAGGCCCUGCUUUUGUGGGGUGCUCGAGUGGCGAACGGGUGAGUAACACGUGAGUAACCUGCCCUUGACUUUGGGAUAACUUCAGGAAACUGGGGCUACUACCGGAUAGGAGCUCCUGCUGCAUGGUGGGCGUUGGAAAUUUUCGGCGGUUGGGGAUGGACUCGCGGCUUAUCAGCUUGUUGGUGGGGUAGUGGCUUACCAAGGCUUUGACGGGUAGCCGGCCUGAGAGGGUGACCGGCCACAUUGGGACUGAGAUACGGCCCAGACGCCUACGGGAGGCAGCAGUGGGGAAUAUUGCACAAUGGGCGGGAGCCUGAUGCAGCAACGCCGCGUGCGGGAUGACGGCCUUCGGGUUGUAAACCGCUUUCGCCUAUGACGAAGCGUGAGUGACGGUAAUGGGUAAAGAAGCACCGGCUAACUACGUG
rnacentral:rRNA from 1 species